UGAGCUGUUGACAUUUCGCUUUUAAGUUCGGUUUCCAUGUUAGUCUGCGGUCGAGGUGCAUGCCAAGAUACUUCACACAGGUAUCUUCUGGAAUUGCUGAGCCGUAAAGUGUUACAUUUGGGCAUCUUCCUGGUCUUAGUGCAAAAGUUAUUUGGACAGACUCCAGGGAAUUCAUUUUAAUUUUCCAGUGAAGAAACCAGGCUUCAAUCAGACUGAGCUCACUUUGCAACAGUUGAGAUGCUUCGUCUCGAGAAGAGCUUGUUGCCAGAAUGGCUGUAUCGUCAGCAUAUGUUGCAAUGGUGCAGUUGUUUGUUGUUGGCAUAUCUGCCGUGUAUAGAGUGUAGAGGACUGGUCCCAGUUAGAGGUGGGCGCGGGCCUGUAUUUUGAGGCCCGGGCACGCACGAAAACAAACUCUUUUUUGAGAGGCCCGGCCCGGCCGAACACGAAACAUUUUCAUCAAGGCCCGGGCCCGGCCCGGGCCUGCACGAAACUUAUUUACACAUAUAAGAAAACAUUAUUGCCAUUAUAAUUAACGCAAUCGAAAAGCUUGCACACUUCACUCCUGCCCUUUUCACUUUGUAUAAAUUUUACACAUUCACUUUUUUUAUUUACAGCGUCCUGAAUUGUUUGUCGCGACAUUUUUAUUUUUCACAGAUUUGCUAAUUUCACAAUAAGCCGCCAAUUUUGAAUUAGUGGUGUGCAAACAAAUAAAAUAUUGUAUAAGCAAAUUAAUAGUAGCAUCGAUAAGCAAUUAAAAUGCGACAAAUGGCGGUUCUAAUUCGAUCAAAUCAAAAUUUUUUUCGGGCCUAUUUCGGGUUUUUACGGGCCGGGCCUUUUUGCUAAGGCCCGGGCCCGCACAAAGCCCGUACGAAUCUUAAUUUUAAGGCCCGGGCCCGCCCGAACCCGCUCCGGGCCUGUGUAAGCCCGCGGGCCACGAAAAAAAGCCCGGCCCGUGCCCACCUCUAGUCCCAGUACACUCCUUUGAGGAACGCCUGCGUUUAUGAGAAAUAGUGUUGACGUAUCAUUUCUCUGCUGAACGUAGAAGCAUCUCUUCGACAAGUAGGAUCUCAGUAAUAGAUAGUAUGGGACAGGUAGCCAAUUCUUUAUCGUGAUGAGCAACCCAUUGUGCCAAACACGAUCAAACGCUUGUUGAACAUCAAGAAACGUACCAGUACAGAAUUUUUUCUUCUCAAGUGCAUAUACAAUUUCAUUAAUAACCCUGUGACAUUGUUCAGUGAUGCCGUGGCCUCUUCUAAAUCCGAAUUGAUAUUUAGGAAUGAUGGCAAGUUCGUCCAAAAUUGGCAACAUCCUCUUAAGUAGUAUUUUUUCAAAUACUUUCGAGAAUAUUGUCAACAGACUAAUGGGACGGUAGGAUGAUAGUUCAGCUUCUGGCUUGUUUGGCUUAAGGAUCAUAAUGAUUUCUGCACAUUUCCAUUGACUUGGGUUGUAUCAAAAUAAAUAAUGUUGCUUGAGAUUUUCUACAUUUUAACGGAGAUUCUGUGGGACUUGUACUGGAAUAGUGUGAAAAAAUGUUGUUGACAAACACACAACAUGUUUCCUUUUUGGAAAUAAUGUUUCUGUGUUUUGGUAUAUAUAAUGUGAGGUAGUUGUCUAAAUUAAAGUUGCAAAAAAAAAAAUAAACAUCUGAUUGUCACAAAUCAAAGCAUCAGGUGAUGCGCCAAAGCCUUAAUAAAGUUGGCAACUCCACUUAGCAUAGCUCAACGGUUGAGUCUAUCGAACGGGGAGUAGUGCAUUGAUCCACACAGAGAUGCUUUGAGCACUCACUAAGGGCAGCCAUCUUCACUUUUGCACUUUUUUUCACUGAGAACAUACGUAUUACCUCAGACCAAAAUUUGCAAAGAAAAAUUGCAAAAAUAAAUAUAAAAUAAUACUGCAACCAAGAAAGGAAUGCCAACACUUUUGGGCAUUCAAGAUUUUGUUUUGUCCCAACCUGGAGUGGCCGUCUCUAUUGGAGAAUUUAGAAUUGCUAAAUUUUCUCUUUGCCACUGAUUGCUUAUUGGUCAUACCGCUGGCAAUUGCACACGCUAGACCCUCCAUAGAGUGUAAUAGGUGUUGCACAUUGCAGUCCUCGCCUUCCCCCCCUGUUGAACAGGUGCCACAUGCGAAGCGCAGGCGGAUCUUCACCCCAACCUGCAAGCCUAAGGGAGUAUUGGUGAAGGCGGCGAACAGCCAGCUAGAGCGAGAAUAAGGCAAUAAUCUUGCGGCAGCGAAUCUUCGCUGCAGAUUAUCAAACGGUAUUCGAUAGCGGCUCAGCGAAGGCGAUACUAGAGACGUUCAAAGGAGCGUAGAUCUUCCGGCGAGAGAUCUACGGCUCCCCACAAAACACGCCAGUACCAUCUGCAUUGGAUUGUUUUCGUUCAUAAAAUGCACUAAGAGUGCCAACAUGGUUUGGAAAAACUGAAAAAUUAAAUUGAAUUUGUAUUUAGUA